rnacentral:rRNA from 1 species
CUAACAAGGAUUCCCUUUAGUAACUGCGAGUGAAGAGGGAAAAGCUCAAAUUUAAAAUCUGGCAGUGUUUCACUGUCCGAGUUGUAACCUAGAGAAGUGUAACCUGCGCUGGACCGUGUAUAAGUCUCCUGGAAUGGAGCAUCACAGAGGGUGAGAAUCCCGUCUUUGACAUGGACUACCAGUGCAUUGUGGUUGCGCUCUCAACGAGUCGAGUUGUUUGGGAAUGCAGCUCUAAAUGGGUGGUAAAUUCCAUCUAAAGCUAAAUAUUGGCGAGAGACCGAUAGCGAACAAGUACCGUGAGGGAAAGAUGAAAAGAACUUUGGAAAGAGAGUUAAACAGUAUGUGAAAUUGUUGAAAGGGAAACGUUUGAAGUCAGUCGCGUUGGUUGGGGAUCAGCCUGACAUUGUUGGGUGUACUUCCUGGUCGACGGGCCAACAUCAGUUUUGACUGCCAGAAAAAGAUCAAAGGAAUGUGGCACCUUUGGGUGUGUUAUAGCCCUUGGUCGUAUAUGGUGGUUGGGACUGAGGAAAGCAGCGUGCCAAAAGGCCGGGUUUCGACCACGUUCACGCUGAGGAUGUUGGCAUAAUGGCUUUAAGCGACCCGUCUUGAAACACGGACCAAGGAGUCUAACAUGCAUGCGAGUGUUUGGGUGGAAAACCCUUACGCGUAAUGAAAGUGAAAGUUGAGAUCCCUGUCGCGGGGAGCAUCGACGCCCGGACCAGAACUUUUGGGACGGAUCCGCGGUAGAGCACGUAUGUUGGGACCCGAAAGAUGGUGAACUAUGCCUGAAUAGGGUGAAGCCAGAGGAAACUCUGGUGGAGGCUCGUAGCGAUUCUGACGUGCAAAUCGAUCGUCAAAUUUGGGUAUA